UCGAGAAUUUUUCUCAAUGGGGGAAACCCUGAAGGAGCGACGCCGCGUGGAGGAUGAAGGUUUUCGGAUUGUAAACUCCUGUCAUUUGGGAACAAACCUUUCAUUUAACUGAUGAAAGACUGAUAGUACCAGAAGAGGAAGAGACGGCUAACUCUGUGCCAGCAGCCGCGGUAAUACAGAGGUCUCAACCGUUGUUCGGAUUCAUUGGGCGUAAAGGGUGCGUAGGCGGUCGCGCAAGUCGGAUGUGAAAUCUCAGGGCUCAACCCUGAAACUGCAUUCGAUACUGCGUGGCUAGAGUGCUGGAGGGGAGACUGGAAUUUACGGUGUAGCAGUGAAAUGCGUAGAUAUCGUAAGGAAGACCAGUGGCGAAGGCGAGUCUCUGGACAGCAACUGACGCUGAGGCACGAAGGCCAGGGGAGCAAACG
rnacentral:rRNA from 1 species